rnacentral:rRNA from 2 species
GGUUGAAGGUUGGGUAACACUAACUGGAGGACCGAACCGACUAAUGUUGAAAAAUUAGCGGAUGACCUGUGGCUGGGGGUGAAAGGCCAAUCAAACCGGGAGAUAGCUGGUUCUCCCCGAAAGCUAUUUAGGUAGCGCCUCGUGAAUUCAUCUCCGGGGGUAGAGCACUGUUUCGGCUAGGGGGCCAUCCCGGCUUACCAACCCGAUGCAAACUGCGAAUACCGGAGAAUGUUAUCACGGGAGACACACGGCGGGUGCUAACGUCCGUCGUGAAGAGGGAAACAACCCAGACCGCCAGCUAAGGUCCCAAAGUCAUGGUUAAGUGGGAAACGAUGUGGGAAGGCCCAGACAGCCAGGAUGUUGGCUUAGAAGCAGCCAUCAUUUAAAGAAAGCGUAAUAGCUCACUGGUCGAGUCGGCCUGCGCGGAAGAUGUAACGGGGCUAAACCAUG